UGGGGAAUUUUGGACAAUGGGCGAAAGCCUGAUCCAGCAAUGCCGCGUGUGUGAAGAAGGCCUUCGGGUUGUAAAGCACUUUUGUCCGGAAAGAAAUCCUUGGCUCUAAUACAGUCGGGGGAUGACGGUACCGGAAGAAUAAGCACCGGCUAACUACGUGCCAGCAGCCGCGGUAAUACGUAGGGUGCAAGCGUUAAUCGGAAUUACUGGGCGUAAAGCGUGCGCAGGCGGUUUGCUAAGACCGAUGUGAAAUCCCCGGGCUCAACCUGGGAACUGCAUUGGUGACUGGGCAGGCUAGAGUAUGGCAGAGGGGGGUAGAAUUCCACGUGUAGCAGUGAAAUGCGUAGAGAUGUGGAGGAAUACCGAUGGCGAAGGCAGCCCCCUGGGCCAAUACUGACGCUCAUGCACGAAAGCGUGGGGAGCAAACAGGAUUAGAUACCCUGGUAGUCCACGCCCUAAAACGAUGUCAACUAGUUGUUGGGGAUUCAUUUCCUUAGUAACGUAGCUAACGCGUGAAGUUGACCGCCUGGGGGAGUACGGUCGCAAGAUUAAAACUCAAAUGAAUUGACGGGGUCAUAGCUGUUUCCU
rnacentral:rRNA from 1 species